AACCCUUUUAUUCAUAGUUGCUUCUUCCUCACCGGCUUAUUGUUCUUCUAAUCUGUGAGUUUGUCUCUCUUCCGCUCCAUUUUAGUCUUUUUUUAGUUAAGCCCUAAUUUCGUUCAGAUACCCAAGUGAAAGGCGAACCAAGUACUAGCAAAAGAAGGAACAUAGCAGAGAAUGAUGUUGAAGCAAGUUCGAAUGAUUCUGAGCCUGAACUUGUCGCCAAACGCAGAGUUCUUCGAUCUCGAUAUCUCGCUGUUCGGACCCUAAUUUCUGAUGAGAGAGAUGAUUUAUCAAGGGUUGAUUCGGACAAGUUCAAUUCGAUUAUCAAUGAACGAUUCUGGUAAUUAACUGUCCUCUUGACAAUAUUGCUUUCUUUAAUUUGGUUUUCAGUACAGAAACCUAGAGAACAAGCUGCAGAUGCUGAAGCUCUGUUGAACAUCACAAACACGUUGGUUACAUCUGUUAAAGCACACAAUCAAGAAGGAAUUACCCCUUUUAAACUUUGUAAACUGUCUGCUCAGAGAUUUCGGGCGACAAGGUCGGGCAAGUACCUACGCAGAGGAUGGUCUUGAGGAUGGCAAUAUCCCAUUUGGUUCAGUGGAAGGAAUGCAGUUUUCAUCAUAGUCUGAACCAUGAGUG